AGUAAUUUCGGGGCUGUAUCUUGUCUUUCCAAAGGAAGAAUUACAAGUCCAUUGCAGUGCAAAACUUAACUUCUGCAGUUGUACAGAAUAUGCUCCAAAACAAUGGCAUCAUCAACAAAGGCUUUCAUGUUGACCUCUGCUCUACACAAACUUAAAUCUGUUUUACAUCAGAAGCUGCAGGGACGGAAGAGUACAUGGGAAAAGAACAUGUCUGGGAGUUUAGAGAGGACCAGCUAAAUUUUUUGAGCUCCAGUGGGAUUGGUGACAUAACUAAAAAGCAGCAAACAGCAGGUGAGAAGGAGGAUUUAAAUAUAAAUAAGGACACUUUGAAGGCAUAAGUUUUUAUUGAUCACAUUCACAUUUACAAAUCAAAGUCUCUGCUCUUAGAAAAAUAUUUAACUAAGAAAGAAUCCAAAAGUCGUAAAAUACCAAGCAGGGAAAGAAAAAAUAUUAGAAAAAAGGAAAGGCAUGGAAUCAUGUUGAUAAAUAUUCCCCAGACUAAAAAAAUCAACUAAAUACCCUAUUUUCUUUAAUUAAAAAUCACUGAAUUAUUUAAGGAUAUCUGCCCAGAUUAAUUAUUGAAGACACAUCAAGAUCUGCCUAGUGGUGUGAUUACUGGUUUGUAUGGUUAUUAAGAUCUGCCUAUUUGGACUUGAAUUCAACCUCCAAUUAAAAAAGUUAUUAGAAAUUCAAUCCACACUCCGUGCUUUAAAAUGGUUAAAUAUUUUAAUUCACAUCAUUCAUCCAUUAAUAAAAAACAGAGCUUAGUUUCUUUUUUUCACCUGUCACUGUAUACAAAGAAACAAUGCUCAUUUUAUGGCCAUAGUUUAGCAGACAUUUGCCAUCCUACUAAAGGUGCUGCUCACAAUCUAUCCAUGGGAUCAGAGUUCAAUAGCAGCACAUUCAACCUGGAAAAAAGUGGUGGUUACAAUAGCAUAGUAAUAACAGUUGCAGAUAACAAUCUGAAAAGCUCAGACCACUGAAACACCAUGGUUUGCAGUUAGAAAAUAUUUGUGUGUUUUACCAGAAUGUAGCCCAGUACACUGCCAACUAGGAGAAAUAAAAAUCUGGUGGGAGGACACAAAAUUAGAUCAGAGCUCCCUCAAAUGAAAAGAAAUCCAGUCUUGCUGAACUGAAAUGUGAUCAUUGGGAUAGCAUUUCUAUCAGCUCAUUCAUUUCAAAUGCAAUUUAAUGCUGUAUUAGAAACUUCAUUUUAACAAAUGCUAUUGCAUAGGUGCAACUUGGCUGCCACAGCAGGCCCAGGAGACCCCACAGGGACCCCAUAACCACACUUUGGGAACAGAGACACAGAUUCCCUCCACCAAGUGAAGGCCACUGAGGUACUGACUAUUAUAAAACAGGUCUUACCAGCUUUUGCAAGAUGUGUUCAGCCCUGUUGGCCUUAACAGUGACCACAGGGAUGCCUGGGAAUUGAUACAACCACGGAACAAACAUUUAGUGAUACUUAGCCACAAAACUUUGCCAGCCUCCAAAAAUUUGCAGCUUAGAGGCUCCCCACUAGCAGACCUUGCUGGAUUUCUCUUCCAUGAACUUUUCCAGUGGCCUCCUGUUGAGCCCCAUAAAGGAUCAAUAAUCACAGCAUGCAGGCUCGCACUGUGUAGAACCAUCGUGGUCCCUCCUGGGCUGUCCAUGUUGCCCUCAUUUAAUCCCCACACUUCUGGUAUCAGAAAAAGUAGUGGGCACUUGGUCAUCUCCAUGGCAGUCAUGAUUUUCAGACCCUUUCUUUUAUGUUCUCUGCAUUACCUCUUUGGCACGCUGAAAAAUAUGGCCUAUGUGGAUGUUUCUUCUGCAAAGGAUGUGGAGUCAGGACUCCAGGGGUCUGUGGCUGCUCCAUGGAGAGUUUUCACAUACCUUCACCUUGUGUUUAGUGAUUCACCUUGUAUGGACUGAAUUAUUUUCCAAAUAUUUCUGUUUUCCCCUAGAGGAAAGAGUCUUGAUGACAGUUCUAAUCUAAGACCUAAUUUAGGUACCAGGCUGGUGUUUUGAAGGAGACAGAGUUAGAUCAAAUUACACUAAAUUUAUCAGGCGAAGAUCUAAGUGUUUCUGUUUAGUGAGAUGCAGAAAUUUGUGCCAUUAAUGUUAGCUAUUUGACAGUGGUUUCUUUUCAUUACAUGAAAUGAGAAAAUGGAGCCAGUUCAUUAUGAAGAUGGUGAAAGUUUUAAUAAGGCAAAUACAGGCUGAAUCCUACAAGUGCAUGUGGGGAAAGUAAUGUAAAAAAUGCAACAUCAAAGAAAGAUGAGCAGGGGAUUGAGAGCAGAGAAACAUGUAAUGAGCCGAGUCAGACUGAAGUCUAAGAUAAUUGCUCAAAGAUUGCAGCACUUGGGAAUUGCUAUCCUGUGGCAGGAGUAGAAAAUGGGUUGGAAUGAAUGGGACCCAGUCAAUCUGUAACCACAUUGUAAGGGCCAAGAUAAUUUCCUCCAUUUUCAGGUGUAGAAGCUGAGGCUCUGAACAGAGCUGGCAGUGAUGGUCUCACCUGGAACAGAUCUGCUCAGUCUGGGAUCAGACCUGACCAAACUUGGUCUUUGCCCAAAAACCUCUCCUGAAUAUUUUCUGUUUUAACUCUGGGGCUAAAGAGAACUUAAUAACCUGUCAGUGUGAAAUUAAUUUUCUUAACUGCAAAGAGUGUGGCUGUUCUUGCUGUUUGUACAGUGCAAAAUAAGCCAGUUGAUCAAUGGGGCUCUGAUGAUUUAUUAACACCAUGCCGCCAAUGAGAACUCAUGCUGGAACUUAGGAUGGCUCAAACUUAAUUUUAAAAUACUGAAGGAAAUCUCAAAUCUUUCAAUGACUUAUAGAACUGCUUGUAUAUUUGUCAUAUAUUAACAUAGAAAGCAAAAUAUAUCUGAAUAAUAAGGAAUGCAUCUUCAAUCAGUUCAAAGUACUGCCAACAACAGUAAGAGCAAAUUGUGUUUCUUCAUGUUCUCUAGAAAUUCCACAAAAAUGACUUGAUAUCCCAGUGUAUUAAGCAAUUCCUAUGUUGCGUACUAAGUACCUCUGUUUUUACAAAAAGAAAAAAAAACCCCAACCUAAAUCUAUUUUCAUUUGUAUUAUUUUUUAAUUUCAAUGAAAACAAUCCAACUGACCUGAAAUUCUCACUGAAAAAGUUUGAGCAUUAUUAAAACAGCUGAAACAAAA